GCUUACGGCCAUACCAGCCUGGGUACGCCCGAUCUCGUCUGAUCUCGGAAGCUAAGCAGGGUCGGGCCUGGUUAGUACUUGGAUGGGAGACCGCCUGGGAAUACCAGGUUCUGUAAGCA
rnacentral:rRNA from 1 species